CAUUUAACCUUAUAGAAACAUUAUUUGAAAUUAGAAAGCAUGAAAUUGUGAAAUUUACACAUUAUAUAAAGUACAUACGAAGUGACUGAACGAAUGUUUGUCAUAGAACAUACACUUAUUUUUAGCAUCGAGUUGAUAGUUUGAACGUUCUUGUGCACACUUAUUCGUUUUUACAGUCUGAGGUGAAUGAUACAGUGUUGUUUCCAUUACAGCUAAAGAGCUGGGAACAGAGAACGAUAUUCAAAGUCACGUUAGACGCUUUUAGCAUUAAAAAGCAGGAAACAGGAAAUGAUAUUGUAUGACAAUGCUGAUAAUAUAUGAUAUGAUCAUUCCCAUACUCAUUAUAUAAACUUAUUUCAGGCUGUUGAAAUGAGGGACAGUGGCGUCGAUGCAUCUGGUGGAAGCAGUGCUGACACUGAGUGCCCAUCCUCAGUGGAGGAGGCUAAUCUUUCACAUCCUCCUCUUCCUCAUCCUCACCCCCUCCCUCAUUGGCCUCCACCCCAACCACCCCAUUUCCCAGUACUUCCUGAUGAAUAGGAUGAAGAAGAGUACUUUGCAGACAACGAGGAAGAGGAAUACUGAGGUUCUUUUAAAAAAAUUUUUUAAAAUAAACAUUAUUAAUAAAUAUUUUG
ensembl:lncRNA